UACGGAGGGGGCUAGCGUUGUUCGGAAUUACUGGGCGUAAAGCGCACGUAGGCGGGCCAGAAAGUCAGAGGUGAAAUCCCAGGGCUCAACCCUGGAACGGCCUUUGAAACUUCUGGUCUUGAGGUCGAGAGAGGUGGGUGGAAUUCCGAGUGUAGAGGUGAAAUUCGUAGAUAUUCGGAGGAACACCAGUGGCGAAGGCGGCCCACUGGCUCGAUACUGACGCUGAGGUGCGAAAGCGUGGGUAGCAAACAGG
rnacentral:rRNA from 1 species